UGGGGAAUAUUGGACAAUGGGCGCAAGCCUGAUCCAGCCAUGCCGCGUGAGUGAUGAAGGCCCUAGGGUUGUAAAGCUCUUUCACCGGUGAAGAUAAUGACGGUAACCGGAGAAGAAGCCCCGGCUAACUUCGUGCCAGCAGCCGCGGUAAUACGAAGGGGGCUAGCGUUGUUCGGAUUUACUGGGCGUAAAGCGCACGUAGGCGGACUUUUAAGUCAGGGGUGAAAUCCCGGGGCUCAACCCCGGAACUGCCUUUGAUACUGGAAGUCUUGAGUUUGGUAGAGGUGAGUGGAAUUCCGAGUGUAGAGGUGAAAUUCGUAGAUAUUCGGAGGAACACCAGUGGCGAAGGCGGCUCACUGGACCAUUACUGACGCUGAGGUGCGAAAGCGUGGGGAGCAAACAGG
rnacentral:rRNA from 1 species